GAUGAACGCUGGCGGCGUGCCUAAUACAUGCAAGUCGAGCGAAUGGAUUAAGAGCUUGCUCUUAUGAAGUUAGCGGCGGACGGGUGAGUAACACGUGGGUAACCUGCCCAUAAGACUGGGAUAACUCCGGGAAACCGGGGCUAAUACCGGAUAACAUUUUGAACCGCAUGGUUCGAAAUUGAAAGGCGGCUUCGGCUGUCACUUAUGGAUGGACCCGCGUCGCAUUAGCUAGUUGGUGAGGUAACGGCUCACCAAGGCAACGAUGCGUAGCCGACCGGAGAGGGGGAUCGGCCACACUGGGACUGAGACACGGCCCAGACUCCUACGGGAGGCAGCAGUAGGGAAUCUUCCGCAAUGGACGAAAGUCUGACGGAGCAACGCCGCGUGAGUGAUGAAGGCUUUCGGGUCGUAAAACUCUGUUGUUAGGGAAGAACAAGUGCUAGUUGAAUAAGCUGGCACCUUGACGGUACCUAACCAGAAAGCCACGGCUAACUACGUGCCAGCCGCCGCGGUAA
rnacentral:rRNA from 1 species